GACGAACGCUGGCGGCGUGCUUAACACAUGCAAGUCGAACGAGGCCCCUCCUUCGGGAGGGUGUCCUAGUGGCGAACGGGUGAGUAACACGUGGGCAACCUGCCCCCGGCUCUGGGAUAACCCCAAGAAAUUGGGACUAAUACCGGAUAUGACCGCUGACCGCAUGGUCUGGUGGUGGAAAGAUUUAUCGGCUGGGGAUGGGCCCGCGGCCUAUCAGCUUGUUGGUGGGGUAGUGGCCUACCAAGGCGACGACGGGUAGCCGGCCUGCGAGGGUGACCGGCCACGCUGGGACUGAGACACGGCCCAGACUCCUACGGGAGGCAGCAGUGGGGAAUAUUGCGCAAUGGGCGGAAGCCUGACGCAGCGACGCCGCGUGAGGGAUGACGGCCUUCGGGUUGUAAACCUCUUUCAGCGGGGACGAAGCGCAAGUGACGGUACCUGCAGAAGAAGCACCGGCCAACUACGUGCCAGCAGCCGCAGUAACAC
rnacentral:rRNA from 1 species